GGAUGUUGGAUAGAUGGAGGGUGGCAGAGGGAGGUAUAGUGAAUCUAAUGGGAUGUUGGAUAGAUGGAGGGUGGCAGAGGGAGGUAUAGUGAAUCUAAUGGGAUGUUGGAUAGGUGGAGGGUGGCAGAGGGAGGUAUAGUGAAUCUAAUGGGAUGUUGGAUAGGUGGAGGGUGGCAGAGGGAGGUAUAGUGAAUCUAAUGGGAUGUUGGAUAGAUGGAGGGUGGCAGAGGGAGGUAUAGUGAAUCUAAUGGGAUGUUGGAUAGGUGGAGGGUGGCAGAGGGAGGUAUAGUGAAUCUAAUGGGAUGUUGGAUAGGUGGAGGGUGGCAGAGGGAGGUAUAGUGAAUCUAAUGGGAUGUUGGAUAGAUGGAGGGUGGCAGAGGGAGGUAUAGUGAAUCUAAUGGGAUGUUGGAUAGAUGGAGGGUGGCAGAGGGAGGUAUAGUGAAUCUAAUGGGAUGUUGGAUAGAUGGAGGGUGGCAGAGGGAGGUAUAGUGAAUCUAAUGGGAUGUUGGAUAGAUGGAGGGUGGCAGAGGGAGGUAUAGUGAAUCUAAUGGGAUGUUGGAUAGAUGGAGGGUGGCAGAGGGAGGUAUAGUGAAUCUAAUGGGAUGUUGGAUAGAUGGAGGGUGGCAGAGGGAGGUAUAGUGAAUCUAAUGGGAUGUUGGAUAGAUGGAGGGUGGCAGAGGGAGGUAUAGUGAAUCUAAUGGGAUGUUGGAUAGAUGGAGGGUGGCAGAGGGAGGUAUAGUGAAUCUCACUGGAUGUUGGAUAGAUGGAGGGUGGCAGAGGGAGGUAUAGUGAAUCUAAUGGGAUGUUGGAUAGAUGGAGGGUGGCAGAGGGAGGUAUAGUGAAUCUAAUGGGAUGUUGGAUAGGUGGAGGGUGG